UUGGAGCUGGAAUUACCGCGGCUGCUGGCACCAGACUUGCCCUCCAAUUGAAUUUUGGGAAGGUUUUAAAUUCCCAUCAUUCCAAUUACAAAGCCAGAUUGGCCUUGUAUUGUUAU
rnacentral:rRNA from 1 species